CAAAUUUACCUGGAAGCACCUUUACCAGUUAUAAUUUAUACACAACUACAGUACCACGUUACCUGUGUAUGGGAAACAGCAGGUACAGAGGAAGGCAAGGUCGGGGAAGUAGACUGAGUGGACCGACCAACAAAGAUGUAUUAGAGAAACUCAAAAGUUCACCCACUUCCUUCACUCAUCCUGCAGUGGCCCAAGAUAAACUCAUCUCUUAUCAAGAAGUGAAGAACAAGGGACAGACUGAUGACAAAGGCUACAUCACCACCACCA